UUAAAGUAUGGAAGACUUGUGAAGUUGCUGUAGUGAAAAUAUCAAUGGUAGAUCUUGAUUUGCCAUUAGGAAAUAUAUUUUAUAUUUUUAACUGUGUUUUUCUAUUACGCAAAUGUAAUGUAAGGUCAUCAAAAUGUCUAAUGUUAUUCAUUGCUUUGAAUACCACAACAGCUGCGCAAAGGAAAAGUAGGAAGUUAUAGUUAUAGUACUAUCAAAUAUUUUAGUAUUAUCAAUAGAAACCAAGUUAAAUACUAUAAUCUUAACAUUAAAUGAUUUUUAAAGACAAUUAUUUUAGUUUCCAUUGGUAUAACAUUUGAGAUUUAAUCACGCAUUAGUAAUUAACUGUGUUUUUGUCAUGUUAAAACCAGAGUUUAGUUUUCAGAGUAAUGAGCUAUCUGGCCUGUAUACAAAAUAUUGACAAUAUUGGCAAGUGAGUCAAUGCUUCAUUGUUUUAAUUUAGCUUUCUUUGAGAAGAAUAUUGAAUAACAUCAACAGAUUUAAAAUAUGAGGAACCUUUUGUUGGUCAUCAUGUUUUGUCUGGUGUUGAUAUCAAUAUCACAAGUGAAAUACGGCGACGCAAGUAGGAGAAGAACGAGCUUGCAAAGAAGGACCUCGCGUAGAAGUAGUUUUCGAGUUGCGAGUGGCCGUAAACCAUGCGGAUAUAAACGAUUUAGAAGGUGCCGAAGAUAUUGCAGUUGGUGGGGAUGUCGUACCAUUUGCAAAUGGCACGUUCGAAGAGUGUGUUCUGGCUGAAAAUUAAAGUAUGGAAGACUUGUGAAAUUGCUGUAAUGAAAACAUCAAUGUAUUUUGAUAAGAAAAUGUGUUUUAUAUUUUUAACUUUGCUUCUGUAUUACACAAAUGUAAUGUAAGGUCAUCAAAAUGUGUAAUAUUAUUCAUUGCUUAGAAUACCACAACAGCUGCGCAAAGGGAAAGUAGGAAGUUAUAGUUAUAGUACUGUCAGAUAUUUUAGUUUUAUCAAUAGAAACCAAGUUAAAUACUAUCAGUUCGCAUUACGCAUUUUGGAAAGAUAAUUAUUUCAGUUUC